rnacentral:snRNA from 1 species
CUGUUUUGACAGCAUGUGUACUAAAAUUGGAACAACUCAGAGAAAGUUAGCACGCCUCCAGUGUAAGGAUGACAUGGAAGUUCAUGGAGUAUUCCACGGCUUU